ACGAACGCUGGCGGCGUGCUUAACACAUGCAAGUCGAACGGAAAGGCCCUUCGGGGUACUCGAGUGGCGAACGGGUGAGUAACACGUGGGUGAUCUGCCCUGCACUUUGGGAUAAGCCUGGGAAACUGGGUCUAAUACCGGAUAGGACCACGGCAUUCAUGUGCUGUGGUGGAAAGCUUUUGCGGUGUGGGAUGGGCCCGCGGCCUAUCAGCUUGUUGGUGGGGUAAUGGCCUACCAAGGCGACGACGGGUAGCCGGCCUGAGAGGGUGACCGGCCACACUGGGACUGAGAUACGGCCCAGACUCCUACGGGAGGCAGCAGUGGGGAAUAUUGCACAAUGGGCGCAAGCCUGAUGCAGCGACGCCGCGUGAGGGAUGACGGCCUUCGGGUUGUAAACCUCUUUCGCCAGGGACGAAGCGCAAGUGACGGUACCUGGAGAAGAAGGACCGGCCAACUAC
rnacentral:rRNA from 1 species